UUCUUAUUGGAUGAUGACUGUCACGUGUCAUGUUCUGAUUGCCCAAUGAUAACAACAAUACAUUUCAUCUUCCAUGAAUUCGACAUCCAAGUGACAGUCAAUAUUC
rfam:Glycine soja cultivar W05 scaffold1641_17, whole genome shotgun sequence.